rnacentral:rRNA from 1 species
GACUGCAAUUAUACCAGCACUAAUGCACCGGAUCCCAUCAAAAUUUCAGACUUAAGCGUGCUUGGGCGAGAGUAGUACUAGGAUGGGUGACCCCUGGGAAGUCUUUGAAUUGCACCCC